UCGAACGUAAAAUAGACUGUAGGUGAAAGCUUACAUCUCUUCGGAGCAUUUUACGAGGUGCUGCAUGGUUGUCGUCAGCUCGUGCCGUGAGGUGUCGGGUUAAGUCCCAUAACGAGCGCAACCCCUACCUUUAGUUGCCAUCAGGUUAAGCUGGGGACUCUAAAGGAACUGCCUACGCAAGUAGUGAGGAAGGCGGGGAUGACGUCAAAUCAGCACGGCCCUUACGUCCAGGGCUACACACGUGCUACAAUGGCCGAUACAGAGGGCAGCUACCUGGUGACAGGAUGCAAAUCUCCAAAGUCGGUCUCAGUUCGGAUCGGAGUCUGCAACCCGACUCCGUGAAGUUGGAUUCGCUAGUAAUCGCGCAUCAGCCAUGGCGCGGUGAAUACGUUCCCGGGCCUU
rnacentral:rRNA from 1 species